rnacentral:rRNA from 1 species
GAUGAACGCUGGCGGCGUGCCUAAUACAUGCAAGUCGAGCGAACGGACGAGAAGCUUGCUUCUCUGAUGUUAGCGGCGGACGGGUGAGUAACACGUGGAUAACCUACCUAUAAGACUGGGAUAACUUCGGGAAACCGGAGCUAAUACCGGAUAAUAUUUUGAACCGCGUGGUUCAAAAGUGAAAGACGGUCUUGCUGUCACUUAUAGAUGGAUCCGCGCUGCAUUAGCUAGUUGGUAAGGUAACGGCUUACCAAGGCAACGAUGCAUAGCCGACCUGAGAGGGUGAUCGGCCACACUGGAACUGAGACACGGUCCAGACUCCUACGGGAGGCAGCAGUAGGGAAUCUUCCGCAAUGGGCGAAAGCCUGACGGAGCAACGCCGCGUGAGUGAUGAAGGUCUUCGGAUCGUAAAACUCUGUUAUUCGGGAAGAACAUAUGUGUAAGUAACUGUGCACAUCUUGACGGUACCUAAUCAGAAAGCCACGGCUAACUACGUGCCAGCAGCCGCGGUAAUACGUAGGUGGCAAGCGUUAUCCGGAAUUAUUGGGCGUAAAGCGCGCGUAGGCGGUUUUUUAAGUCUGAUGUGAAAGCCCACGGCUCAACCGUGGAGGGUCAUUGGAAACUGGAAAACUUGAGUGCAGAAGAGGAAAGUGGAAUUCCAUGUGUAGCGGUGAAAUGCGCAGAGAUAUGGAGGAACACCAGUGGCGAAGGCGACUUUCUGGUCUGUAACUGACGCUGAUGUGCGAAAGCGUGGGGAUCAAACAGGAUUAGAUACCCUGGUAGUCCACGCCGUAAACGAUGAGUGCUAAGUGUUAGGGGGUUUCCGCCCCUUAGUGCUGCAGCUAACGCAUUAAGCACUCCGCCUGGGGAGUACGACCGCAAGGUUGAAACUCAAAGGAAUUGACGGGGACCCGCACAAGCGGUGGAGCAUGUGGUUUAAUUCGAAGCAACGCGAAGAACCUUACCAAAUCUUGACAUCCUUUGACAACUCUAGAGAUAGAGCUUUCCCCUUCGGGGGACAAAGUGACAGGUGGUGCAUGGUUGUCGUCAGCUCGUGUCGUGAGAUGUUGGGUUAAGUCCCGCAACGAGCGCAACCCUUAAGCUUAGUUGCCAUCAUUAAGUUGGGCACUCUAAGUUGACUGCCGGUGACAAACCGGAGGAAGGUGGGGAUGACGUCAAAUCAUCAUGCCCCUUAUGAUUUGGGCUACACACGUGCUACAAUGGACAAUACAAAGGGCAGCGAAACCGUGAGGUCAAGCAAAUCCCAUAAAGUUGUUCUCAGUUCGGAUUGUAGUCUGCAACUCGACUACAUGAAGCUGGAAUCGCUAGUAAUCGUAGAUCAGCAUGCUACGGUGAAUACGUUCCCGGGUCU